rnacentral:misc_RNA from 1 species
GAUGAAGAACGCAGCGAAAUGCGAUACGUAGUGUGAAUUGCAGAAUUCCGUGAACCAUCAAAUCUUUGAACGCAUAUUGCGCUCGAGGCUUCGGCCGAGAGCAUGUCUGCCUCAGCGUCGGUAUUACCCUUCGCUUCUCAACCCCUGGUUGAUGCCUGCCUGCCUUUGCAGUUGGCUAGAAGCGGAUCUGGCUUUCCCAUUUGCCUUUGGUAGUUGGGUCAGCUGAAGCACAGAGGCUUGAGCAAGGACCCUUAUUGGGCUUCAACUGGAUAGGUAGAACUGGUCUUAGGACCAACUACACGAAGUUGUUGCUUGUGGUCUUUGUCUGGAGGCCAGCAGGAAACCUUUAUACCUUCGACCUGAGCUCAGGCAAGAUUACCCGCUGAACUUAAGCAUAUCAAUAAGCGGAGGA